rnacentral:rRNA from 1 species
UCGAGAAUAAUUCACAAUGGGGGAAACCCUGAUGGUGCAACGCCGCGUGGAGGAUGAAGGUCUUCGGAUUGUAAACUCCUGUCAUCUGGGAGUAAGACCUGGUCGUGAAUAGCGGACAGGGUUGAUAGUACCAGAAGAGGAAGGGACGGCUAACUUCGUGCCAGCAGCCGCGGUAAUACGAAGGUCCCAAGCGUUGUUCGGAAUCACUGGGCGUAAAGGGUGCGUAGGCGGUUUGGUAAGUCAGAUGUGAAAUCCCGGGGCUCAACCCCGGAACUGCAUCCGAUACUGCCAGACUAGAGGACUGGAGAGGUGACUGGAAUUCUCGGUGUAGCAGUGAAAUGCGUGGAUAUCGAGAGGAACACUCGUGGCGUAAGCGAGUCACUGGACAGUAUCUGACGCUGAGGCACGAAGGCCAGGGUAGCGAAAGGG